UGAAGUUAUGUUGGCUUUGGGAAUAAUUUGUUUUCUUUAGGUUACUAUGUAAUAUUUGUUCUAAUACUGUAUUGGGUAUCACUUUUUCAACACUAUGCAAGAGAAGAAAACUAAAACAUGAUCACAUUUUUUGUAAUACAAUAUUCAAUAAAUUAAUGGUCUAUAGGGAAAUACUGCCCAUUGGGAAACAGAGAAAACCUAGAAAAUUUAACUGUAUGUCACUGGAAUGAACCUGGGAAUAAAAAUGUUAUGUAGAAGAAUCUCCUAUACUUUAUGUUCCUAAGUGAUUUCUACCCAUGUCAAGUCCCUGACUAACUAUCUUCAUUCAGAGCAUGUAACCACUAAUGAGGCCAAGAGAAAUCUAUAGAUUUAGAGAGAUGUAGUAUGUAAUGGUUUCAACUGUUUCGCAAGAGACUCUUCUGGAAAAGGCACUCUUGAACCUGGUCAAUGUAAGGAAAUCUGUUCAGCAGGUAGGCCAUAGCAAGUCUCAGUGACAUCAUCAUUAGGCCCUCCAUUAAAAAUCUCUUGUAUCCUGGAGAGCCCUAGUUUCUUCUGUGAUGUCACAAGUGUUGUGACAUCAUCUGCCUCUUAGAUAUUCCAUCAGUACCUCUAGAGUUUACUAAUUGAUCUGUAAUUCAGAAUAAACAGCCAUUUGAGAGAGAAAAAAAAAGAGGAUGAAGAGAUCAGAGAUGGGGAGAAGGAACCUGGCCUUCUGUCUUGGUAUAAAAAAGAAGAAAUGUGUGGUCCAUGGUCAAGAAUAUAUGAUCCACAAAUGACAAUGCCAAAUAGACUCCCUCCUGUUCUCAUAACCUACUGAAGUUGAGGUUUCACUGGACCUCAAGCCAUUCCUCUUGCUGCCCAUCACCCAGAAACUAAUGUUUGGCCUGAAGGAAGAAUCAUGGUAAAACAUCCAAAAUCAUCAAGUCUUUCCCUGGACAAACAGGAAGGUGCACCGAGCUCUUGGAGAAGUUGCUGAACAUCCUAAAGACUUUUGGGCAGAUGAUGACAGAUAUCCUCCUAAUGCUUAACUGCGAUAAGCGAAGCAAGAAACACUUUGUGGUAUCUGUGUCAAGUACAUAUAAUCUCAACCUAAAAGAGGAAAACUACUGGGCAAAUCCAAAUUCAGAGACAUUCUUGCAAGGUAAGUAGUUAUCUUCAAAGGUGUGGUCACAGAAGAUAAAAAUAGUAAUGAAUUAUCACAAAACUGAAUGACUUAAGAUAUGUAAUAAGUAAAUGUUAACUGGAUUUCUGGAUUGGAUAUGGGCAUAGAAAGUGUACAGUUCUAGAAACAUUGUUGAUAUGAUUUGGUAAACCUACUGUGUUACUUGUAACAUUUUUUUUCAAUUUUCUGAUUUUUGAGAAUUAGUCAUUAGAUUGCUUAAAGUAUAUAAAAUUCAGGAAUUAGGACACGAUAUAAAACCAUACUGUUUCCUAGCAAUUAAAUCUGUUUUUCCUGUAUAGUUUGAAUUCUUUUUUAUUUUUUGUAUUUAUUUAUUUUAUUAAUUUAUUUAUGUCUCAAAUGCUGUCCUCCUUCCUGUUUUCCCCCCAGAGUCCCUUAAAACAAACAGCAUCCCUUUCUGAUUACUUCUUUCAAAAAGACAAAGCAACUGUAGUUAAAAGUCAUGUUUAGUCCCUUGAUAGCUGUUCCUUUGGCCACACAUUUGAAAAUCUAUAUCAUUGAUAGUGCAGACAUUAGGAAAUAUCUUCAAAAAUGAUCUUCCAAAAUUAAAUAUUCUCCAGUUAUCAGCUAUCAGCUAUCAGCUUGACAAAAGUGGAAGAACCCAUGAACAAAAAUAUCCUUGUAAUGUACGUAGAGAAAAUUGAUCAGAGAAGAAGGAAUACAUAUAGCAACCUUCCUGGAUUCAACACAAUAGAGCCUACAUUCCUGUAGUGUAUUCUUCAUGAGUUUAUAGAGUUUAUGGGCUAAUACCUGGAAAAGAACUCCUACAAAAACCAGCAGCAAAUUAACCACAAACUGCAAUAUUUAUACAAGCCAAAGAAAUAUGUGUAAAGUAUUAUUUUCAGCUCUAUAUGAGAAUAUUAAUGUUUUUUAAUUCAUAUAGUAAUAAAAUUUUAAUUUCAUUUCUGCAAAUUUUUAUUGCAAUUUUUUAAUAAAUAGAUUUUAAGUGACUCAUGUGAUCAUUAACUUUUAGUGGUUUUGAUUGCACUAUAGAACAAUAAAGUGUUUAUUUGACUGUGAUCAUUACUAUGAAUAUUCACGAAAAUCAAAUUAUGUCAACCAGGAACUGCUCUUCUGUUUUUAUACUUUUUGUUGUACAUAUGCUUGUUCACAUGUGCAACACAUGCAUGCCUACUGUCCAGGAGGUUGAAGAAGGUGUGAGGUUCCGUGAUGCUGAAAUUACAGCCACUUGUGAGCUGUCAACAGGUUC